UGGGGAAUAUUGCACAAUGGGCGGAAGCCUGAUGCAGCGACGCCGCGUGGGGGAUGAAGGCCUUCGGGUUGUAAACUCCUUUCGACAGGGACGAAGCGUAAGUGACGGUACCUGUAUAAGAAGCACCGGCUAACUACGUGCCAGCAGCCGCGGUAAUACGUAGGGUGCGAGCGUUGUCCGGAAUUACUGGGCGUAAAGAGCUCGUAGGUGGUUUGUCGCGUCGUCUGUGAAAUUCCGGGGCUUAACUCCGGGCGUGCAGGCGAUACGGGCUGACUUGAGUGCUGUAGGGGAGACUGGAAUUCCUGGUGUAGCGGUGAAUGCGCAGAUAUCAGGAGGAAUACCGAUGGCGAAGGCAGGUCUCUGGGCAGUAACUGACGCUGAGGAGCGAGAGCAUGGGUAGCGAACAGGAUUAGAUACCCUGGUAGUCCAUGCCGUAAACGGUGGGCGCUAGGUGUAGGGGGCUUCCACGUCUUCUGUGCCGUAGCUAACGCAUUAAGCGCCCCGCCUGGGGAGUACGGCCGCAAGGCUA
rnacentral:rRNA from 1 species